UACGAAGGGGGCUAGCGUUGCUCGGAAUCACUGGGCGUAAAGCGCACGUAGGCGGAUUGCUAAGUCAGGGGUGAAAUCCUGGAGCUCAACUCCAGAACUGCCUUUGAUACUGGCGACCUUGAGUCCGGGAGAGGUGAGUGGAACUGCGAGUGUAGAGGUGAAAUUCGUAGAUAUUCGCAAGAACACCAGUGGCGAAGGCGGGUCGCUGGACAGUUCCUGACGCUGAAGCACGAAGGCCAGGGGAGCAAACGGG
rnacentral:rRNA from 1 species